GACGGAGGGGGCUAGCGUUGUUCGGAAUGACUGGGCGUAAAGGGCGCGUAGGCGGCUUUUUAAGUGAGGCGUGAAAGCCCUGGGCUUAACCCAGGAGGUGCGUUUCAUACUGAAAGGCUUGAGUACGAGAGAGGAAAGUGGAAUUCCUAGUGUAGAGGUGAAAUUCGUAGAUAUUAGGAAGAACACCAGUGGCGAAGGCGCUUUCUGGCUCGUAACUGACGCUGAGGCGCGAAAGCGUGGGGAGCAAACAGGG
rnacentral:rRNA from 1 species